rnacentral:lncRNA from 1 species
CAGUGCUAACUGAUAUUACUUUUAUCAUAUUUAAUGUUCACUGACAGCCCUGUGAGAGCAGAUAGGUGUUAUCCCACCUCACAGGUGAGGGAUUAAAUGACUUGCUCAGGCUGGGCCCAGUGACUCACGCUUAUAAUCUCAGCACUUUAGGAGGCAGAGGUAGGAGGAUUGCUUGACCCCAGAAGUUUGAGACCAGCCUGGGCAACACAGCAAGACCCCACCUCUACCAAAUCAAACCAAACAAAAUAAAACCCAACUUGCUCACUGCCCUAGUGUUUACGGGAGGUAGAGGCAGGAUUUGAACCCAGGUCAGCUGACGUGUGAGAGAAGGGUGGGUGGAGGAAGGGGGAAGGCCCAGAAGCCUCGCAGGUAGCUGGUAGGGAGGUGUUUGGGGUUUGGACAGCUGCUCCCUCCUCUAGGGCUGGCUGACCCAUCAGCGGGGGGUUGUUUCUGUUGCUCAGUGGGGAAUCUGCAGGCCUGGACAGGCUCUGAGCCGGGAAACAGGAGUGGCCCUGCCUGUCCUAUGACACACUGCGAGUGGAGGGGGCUGUGGUCAGCGGGGACGUAGGGGAGUCACACCCGCCGAAGCCCAGCUCAGAGUCAGGACUGGGGCCAAAGGGGCAGAACCUGGGCUGGCCAUGGAGGUCCGAAGUGAGGGAUUAAAAUCCAGAGUGGCAGCCUCUGCCACUGACAGCCCCAGCUCUUCCCGUGGCCCCAAAGGCCGGUGUGUCCCUGUCCCACCGGUUUCCUCAUCUCCCUCCCUCCCAUGCACCUCCCUGCUCACCUCAGUCCCACUGGCCUCCCUGAACCUCCUGAAAACCAACCAAGCUCUCUCCCCACACAAGGCCUUUGCUGUUAGUUUGCCUCUGCUGUAAACAACCUUUCCCUGGCUCCUUCACACUUACCAAAUCCUAGCUCCAGUGUCACCUCCCUUAAAAAGCCUUCCCUUGGCUGGGCAUAGUGGCUCAUGACUACACUCUCAGCACUUUGGGAAGCCAAGGUAGGAGGAUCACUUGAGCCCAGGAGUUUGAGACCAGCCUGGGAAACAGAGAGAGACCCCGUCUCUACAAAAAAUAAAGAUUUUUAAAAAGCCUUCCUUUCUCUUCCUUUCUAAAGCACUGCCAUGUUCUCACUUCUUCCACAUCCCCCUGCAAUGCCUGUUUUCCAUUCCUAUCUGCGAUUCCCAUUCCCUUCCUUAUUGACUUGCUAUGUGUUCACCACCUGACUCCCCUCAGUAGAACACACACAGAUGAACCCUGAGGGCGGGGGCCAUGUUCAGGGCUCCAUUCCUCUCAUCUAGAGCAGCGGCUGCCACACAGCAAGGACUCCAUGCAUACUUAUGGAAUCAGUGGGCGAAUGAAUAGCCAGCUGUACCAUGUUGGAAAAAUGACUUGUGGUCUUUGAAUCUGUUUCCCCAUCUCUAAAAUGAGAUUGGGAUUCCUGUCUCUGUCACCCACGCUGGCAAAUGGCAUGAUCUCAGCUCACUGAAACCUCCACUUCCCGGGUUCAAGAGAUUCUCCUGCCUCAACCUCCCAAGUAGCUGGGAUUACAGGCACCCACCACCAUGUCCAGUUAAUUUUUCUAUUUUUAGUAGAGAUGGGGUUUCGCCAUGUUGGCCAGGCUGGUCUUGAACUCCUGACCUCAAGUGACCCGCCUGCCUUGGCCUCCCAAAGGGCUUGGAUUACAGGCGUGCCUGGCCUCAUGCCACUUCUUAAGGUGGAUUACAAUCAUACAAUCAAGCUACCAUUUAUUGAGGACUUACUGUGUUCCAGGCACUGUACUAGAUACUUAAAACCCGGCAUCUAGAAAGUGAUCAGUUAAUUACAAUAUUCCCUAUGUUACUACGAUUGCUACUACUAAACUCUAUAGGUUGGGGUCCCUGAUUGAGGGACUGAACCCUUGAUCCUAAAAUGCCCCCCUGCUUCCCCCACCCCCAGAGGCUACCCCAAGGAAGAGAGACAAUCCCAGGGGCUUGAAAUAAAGGGAACAUGCUGGGAAAGAAAACUACUCUGAGGCAGGGUGCAAUGGCUCAUGCCUGUAAUCCUAGCACCUUGGGAAGCUGAGGUGGGCAGAUCACUUGAGGCUAGGAGUUCGAGACCAGCCUGGGCGACAUGGUGAAACCCCGACUCUACAAAAAAUACAAAAAUUAGCCGGGUGCAGUGGUGUGCACCUGUAGUUCCAGCUACUCAGGAGGCUGAGGCAGGAGAAUCACUUGACCCCAGAUAGCAGAGAUUGCAGUGAGCUAAGAUCACGUCAUUGUACUCCAGCCUGGGUAACAGAGCGAGACCCUGCCUCAAAAAAAAAAAAA